UAAUUGAAGAGUUUGAUCAUGGCUCAGAUUGAACGCUGGCGGCAGGCCUAACACAUGCAAGUCGAACGGUAACAGAGA
rnacentral:rRNA from 1 species